rnacentral:rRNA from 1 species
AACGAACGCUGGCUGCAUGCCUAACACAUGCAAGUCGAACGAGACCUUCGGGUCUAGUGGCGCACGGGUGCGUAACGCGUGGGAACCUUCCUUUAGGUUCGGAAUAACUCAGAGAAAUUUGAGCUAAUACCGGAUGAUGUCUUCGGACCAAAGAUUUAUCGCCUUUAGAUGGGCCCGCGUUGGAUUAGCUAGUUGGUGGUGUAAAGGCCUACCAAGGCGACGAUCCAUAGCUGGUCUGAGAGGAUGAUCAGCCACACUGGGACUGAGACACGGCCCAGACUACUACGGGAGGCAGCAGUGGGGAAUAUUGGACAAUGGGCGAAAGCCUGAUCCAGCAAUGCCGCGCGAGUGAUGAAGGCCUUAGGGUUGUAAAGCUCUUUUACCCGAGAUGAUAAUGACAGUAUCGGGAGAAUAAGCUCCGGCUAACUCCGUG